GUUUGAUCCUGGCUCAGGAUGAACGCUAGCUACAGGCUUAACACAUGCAAGUCGAGGGGCAGCAUGGUCUUAGCUUGCUAAGGCCGAUGGCGACCGGCGCACGGGUGAGUAACACGUAUCCAACCUGCCGUCUACUCUUGGACAGCCUUCUGAAAGGAAGAUUAAUACAAGAUGGCAUCAUGAGUCCGCAUGUUCACAUGAUUAAAGGUAUUCCGGUAGACGAUGGGGAUGCGUUCCAUUAGAUAGUAGGCGGGGUAACGGCCCACCUAGUCUUCGAUGGAUAGGGGUUCUGAGAGGAAGGUCCCCCACAUUGGAACUGAGACACGGUCCAAACUCCUACGGGAGGCAGCAGUGAGGAAUAUUGGUCAAUGGGCGAGAGCCUGAACCAGCCAAGUAGCGUGAAGGAUGACUGCCCUAUGGGUUGUAAACCUCUUUUAUAAAGGAAUAAAGUCGGGUAUGCAUACCCGUUUGCAUGUACUUUAUGAAUAAGGAUCGGCUAACUCCGUGCCAGCAGCCGCGGUAAUACGGAGGAUCCGAGCGUUAUCCGGAUUUAUUGGGUUUAAAGGGAGCGUAGAUGGAUGUUUAAGUCAGUUGUGAAAGUUUGCGGCUCAACCGUAAAAUUGCAGUUGAUACUGGAUAUCUUGAGUGCAGUUGAGGCAGGCGGAAUUCGUGGUGUAGCGGUGAAAUGCUUAGAUAUCACGAAGAACUCCGAUUGCGAAGGCAGCCUGCUAAGCUGCAACUGACAUUGAGGCUCGAAAGUGUGGGUAUCAAACAGGAUUAGAUACCCUGGUAGUCCACACGGUAAACGAUGAAUACUCGCUGUUUGCGAUAUACAGCAAGCGGCCAAGCGAAAGCGUUAAGUAUUCCACCUGGGGAGUACGCCGGCAACGGUGAAACUCAAAGGAAUUGACG
rnacentral:rRNA from 1 species